GUACUGAUGAAGGGUCCCAGAUCAAGACGAAACAGCUUUCCAGUAC
rnacentral:hammerhead_ribozyme from 1 species